UUGGCGGACGGGUGAGUAACGCGUGGGUAACCUGCCUCACACUGGGGGAUAACACUUAGAAAUAGGUGCUAAUACCGCAUAAGCGCACGGGACUGCAUGGUCUUGUGUGAAAAACUCCGGUGGUGUGAGAUGGACCCGCGUCUGAUUAGCUGGUUGGCGGGGUAACGGCCCACCAAGGCGACGAUCAGUAGCCGGCCUGAGAGGGUGGACGGCCACAUUGGGACUGAGACACGGCCCAAACUCCUACGGAAGGCAGCAG
rnacentral:rRNA from 1 species